GGCCCAAUUUUGAAGUAGAGUAGAUUAGUAUGGUCACUUGAUCCUACUAAUCUAAUCUCCUUCGAGCUUGUGCCG
rfam:Haemonchus contortus, ISE/inbred ISE, WGS project CAVP01000000 data, contig: Hcontortus_contig_pathogens_Hcontortus_scaffold_3686